rnacentral:rRNA from 1 species
GACGAACGCUGGCGGCGUGCCUAAUACAUGCAAGUCGAGCGCAGGAAGCCGUUCCGAACCCUUCGGGGGGACGACGGUGGAAUGAGCGGCGGACGGGUGAGUAACACGUAAAGAACCUGCCCAUAGGUCUGGGAUAACCACGAGAAAUCGGGGCUAAUACCGGAUGUGUCAUCGGACCGCAUGGUCCGCUGAUGAAGGGCGCUCCGGCGUCGCCCAUGGAUGGCUUUGCGGUGCAUUAGCUAGCUGGUGGGGUAACGGCCCACCAAGGCGACGAUGCAUAGCCGACCUGAGAGGGUGAUCGGCCACACUGGGACUGAGACACGGCCCAGACUCCUACGGGAGGCAGCAGUAGGGAAUCUUCCACAAUGGACGAAAGUCUGAUGGAGCAACGCCGCGUGAACGAUGAAGGCUUUCGGGUCGUAAAGUUCUGUUGUAAGGGAAGAACAAGUGCCGCAGGCAAUGGCGGCACCUUGACGGUACCUUGCGAGAAAGCCACGGCUAACUACGUGCCAGCCGCCGCGGUAAGAC